rnacentral:rRNA from 1 species
CUCUGUGACUCCUACGGGAGGCAGCAGUGGGGAAUAUUGCACAAUGGGGGAAACCCUGAUGCAGCCAUGCCGCGUGUGUGAAGAAGGCCUUCGGGUUGUAAAGCACUUUCAGUAGGGAGGAAGGUAGUGUAGUUAACACCUGCACUAUUUGACGUUACCUACAGAAGAAGCACCGGCUAACUCCGUGCCAGCAGCCGCGGUAAUACGGGAGGGUGCGAGCGUUAAUCGGAAUUACUGGGCGUAAAGCGCAUGCAGGCGGCCUGUUAAGUCAGAUGUAGAAAGCCCCGGGGCUUAACCUCGGAAUUGCAUUUGAAACUGGCAGGCUAGAGUCUUGUAGAGGGGAGUAGAAUUUCAGGUGUAGCGGUGAAAUGCGUAGAGAUCUGAAGGAAUACCAGUGGCGAAGGCGGCCCCCUGGACAAAGACUGACGCUCAGAUGCGAAAGCGUGGGGAGCAAACAGGAUUAGAUACCCUGGUAA